rnacentral:rRNA from 1 species
ACGCUAUCACUCCUACGGGAUGCAGCAGUGGGGGAAUAUCGCACAAUGGGGGGAAACCCUGAUGCAGCCAUGCCGCGUGUGUGAAGAAGGCCUUCGGGUUGUAAAGCACUUUCAGUAGGGAGGAAGGUAGUGUGGUUAACACCUGCACUAUUUGACGUUACCUACAGAAGAAGCACCGGCUAACUCCGUGCCAGCAGCCGCGGUAAUACGGAGGGUGCGAGCGUUAAUCGGAAUUACUGGGCGUAAAGCGCAUGCAGGCGGCCUGUUAAGUCAGAUGUGAAAGCCCGGGGCUUAACCUCGGAAUUGCAUUUGAAACUGGCAGGCUAGAGUCUUGUAGAGGGGGUAGAAUUUCAGGUGUAGCGGUGAAAUGCGUAGAGAUCUGAAGGAAUACCAGUGGCGAAGGCGGCCCCCUGGACAAAGACUGACGCUCAGAUGCGAAAGCGUGGGGAGCAAACAGGAUUAGAUACCCUGGUAG